GAUGAAGAACGUAGCGAAAUGCGAUAAGUAAUGUGAAUUGCAGAAUUCAGUGAAUCAUCGAAUCUUUGAACGCACAUUGUGCCCGCCAGUAUUCUGGCGGGCAUGCCUGUUCGAGCGUCAUUUCAACCCUCAAGCCCCCGGGCUUGGUGUUGGGGAUCGGCGUGCCCUCGCGGCGCGCCGUCCCCUAAAUCUAGUGGCGGUCUCGCUGUAGCUUCCUCUGCGUAGUAGCAACACUCGCACUGGAUCGCAGCGCGGCCACGCCGUUAAACCCCCCACUUCUGAAAGUUUGACCUCGGAUCAGGUAGGAAUACCCGCUGAACUUAAGCAUAUCAAUAACGGAGGA
rnacentral:misc_RNA from 1 species